UACAACGUCGGUCAAACACAC
rnacentral:piRNA from 1 species